rnacentral:sRNA from 1 species
GCUGGGCAUUGUGGCGGGUGCCUGUGAUCCCAGCUACAUGGGAGGCUGAGGCAGGAGACUCGCUUAAGCCCAGGAAUUGGAGGUUGCUGUGAGCUGUGAUGCCUAAGCACUCUACCCAGGGGGACAGCUUGAGGCUCUGUCUCGAAAAAACAAUUAGUUAAUUGUAUCACCCUUGUUAAAGUGCGGUGGCGUCACAGCUCACAGUAACCUCAAAAUCUUGGGUUUGAGAAAUUCUCUUGCC